GGAGAGUACAGCUCAGUGGUAGGGUGUGUGCUUAGCAUGCCUGAGGUCCUGGGUUCAAUCCCCAGUACCUCCA
rfam:Camelus ferus unplaced genomic scaffold scaffold516, whole genome shotgun sequence.